AAAUAAGAAGUAAAAAUUACAUUUAGUUUCGACCUAAAAUUAUGAUGCUUAAAACAUCCUUAUUUA
rnacentral:tRNA from 1 species